CUAAGGAGUAAACAUUUUAGUAACCAAGUGGACACUGAAGAUGUUGAGAACUGGUAAACAAACAAUCAAGCAAGUAAGAACAGAAAUACCAGCAUUUGGCUUUUGAGUUAAUGACAAGAACACUCGGCAUGGGAGCCUGGGUGAGCAAAUCACAGAUCUUCAAGCUUCUGUAAGUGGCCUGCAUUGGGGGUCACCGUGGUGAGCUACGUAGCACCCUGGAGUUCCACAGUGCUUCUCUGAGACAGCCACAGAGAUAGAAGGACAGCUUAGUGAGGAGUCCCCACUACCCCAUCGAAAGGGGACUUCCAUGAAUAAUAGUGCUUGCACAAAAGCUAACUCUCUUCUAUCACUCUUCUGCUUAAAACCCUCAGCACUAUAUUAAGAUUAAAAUCCUGAUUGAAGCUUACUAAGCGCCUCUGGCUACCUCUCCCAGGGCACCUGGGUCCUUCAGCAGACAAGCCCCUUCCUUCCUCUGGGUCUCAGCACUUGCUGUGUGCACCUCUUCCCAAAAAACUCUUGCUCACUCUUUGCCCGGCUGUUUGCAAGACUGGCUCCUUUUCAGGUAAUCCUAUUUCUUUUUUUUUUUUUUAAUUAUUUGUAGAGGCGGGGUCUCGCUAUAUUACCCAGGCUGGUCUCAAACUCCCGGGCUCAAUCGAUCUUUCUGCCUCAGCCUCCCAAAGUGCUGGGAAAGUGCUGGGAUUACAAGCAUGAGCCACUGCACCUGGCCUUCCUCUACUUCCUUCAUGGCAGGUAUCUCCAUCUAAAAUUAUCUGUAUAUCUGUUUCCUCCUCUGCCUUCCCACCAUUACAUUCUGAGCUCUAUGCAGGCAGUGAGUGUCUGUGUUUUGCCUCUCGCUGUCAUCCCAGAGACUAGGGCAAUACCUGUCCAAACUAGACUCAAUCAGUGCCGAGUAAAUGAAUGAAUGAAUGAAUGGUUAUUUUUUUUUUCCAAAUCUGAUCACAUGUAGCUGUCCCAUCUUUGUGCUAAUCAAAAUUAUCUUUCUUUUUUGGACACAGUGUCUUGCUGUCGCCCAGCUUGUGGCACAGUGGCGCAAUCAGAGCUCAUUUCAGGCUCAACCUUCUGGCCUCAAGCAAUCCUUUGGCCUCGGCUUCUAGAGUAGCUAGGACCACAGGUGUGUGCCAGCAUGCCUGGCUAAUUUUUUUUUAUUUUUUGUAGGGACAGGCUCUCACAAUGUUGCCCAGGUUGGUCUUGAACUCCUGGGCUCAAACAAUCCUCCCUCUUGGGCCUCCCAAAGUGCUGGAAUUCCAGGUGUGAGCCAUCUCACCAGUUCAAAAUGAUCUGAUGCUUACACUUAAUCACUCAAAUAGCACUUUCAUAUACUUAAUCUUCAAAAUUAUAAUCUGAGGCCUUUUUGUGGGUUGGUGAAGAGCCACUGGCUAUGAACCUGUUUGCCUUUAACUAAGUAAUCUUGAAGGAGACAAUUCCUCCAGCUUCAGAUUCCUCCUCCAUAAAACUAGGAUGAUUCCUCGAGCAGCUCCCACCAUGAACAACCUAUGAAUGUUUAAGACAUUGACUAGAUAGAAACUGAUCCUUUCUCACAAAAUGUUUUGUGAGAUGUCUCCCUUAUUCCUGCUACGAUGUCCUGAACAUCUACUAUAUGCCAGGUGCUGGGUUAAGUACUUCUCACACACUGCCUCUGAUCUGCAAACCAACUUGCUGGGCAGGAAUUCUUAGCUCCCCGCCCCUUUUUUUUUUUUUUUUUUUUUUUUAACAGAUGCAGAAGCUUACUUGGACCAAGUGACUUGUCCCAGACCACACAAACAGUAAGUAGUAGAACCAGUUCUCAAAUCUAAGUCUGUCCAACAACAAAGGUGAAAUUCCUUCCACCUCCCCACAGUGCCCCUAGGAAAGGGACUACAAAAACAUCAGAUUAGGGUCCCUAUUUACAACAGGAGUUAGGCAUGUAAGGGAGGCAGGUGUGGGAUGGAGAGGGGGAGCCCCAUCUUAAUACAGCAGCUGUUACUUAGCUUUAGUGGAGGUUGUAACAAAGGAAUCGGAACUCAAUGUUUCCUGAUCAUCUGAUUUUUUAAAAUCAGGAUGUAAGAAAUUUUUUACAUGAAAACUCCAUUGUGCAGGCCUUUCUGGAGAAACUGACCCCAGGCCAGGGCCUCUGAUCUGUUUUUUUCUUUCUUUUUUUUUCUUGUUUUUUUUUUUUUUUUUUUUUUGAGACAGUGUCUCUUUCUGUUUCUUAGGCUAGAAUGCAGUAGUUACAAUCACAGCUCACUGCAGCCUUGAUCUCCCAAGCUCAAGGGAUCCUCCCAUCUUAACUUCCUGCAUAGCUGGAACUACAGGCAUGUGCCACCACAUCAGGCUCAAUUUUAAUUUUAAUUUAAUUUUUUUGAGACAUAGUCUCACUCUGUCGCCCAGGCUGGAGGAGACCCCAUUUCAAAAAAAAAAAGUGCCAAAUGUGUCCCUUCAAUUCCAGUCAGCACUUUUGGAAACACGCGUAAAAUUGUUGCCAAUGUGCAUUCUGUGUGUUUGGGAGUCAUUGUGCAAAAUGCGUGGGCAGCAAGCACUCUUUUGUGAACCAAGUUCUAUGAACCACCAAGUAUUCUUUCUCUAGGCUGAAUUCCAAGGCUCUGUUCAGAGAGUACAGGUUUCUGAAGGAAGGGAUUUGAUCUAUGUAUGCGGCUUUCUUCUUAAAAUGCCAGGAAGAAGGUUGCUUAACAAAUGCUUUUGACAUUCCUGACAAGUAAUCUCCAGGCUUGACUUCAGGGGUGAGUUACACCUCUCCCUCCCCACGCCUUUUUGAGAGUAUUGCCAACAAGCAGCAGCAAAACUGAUGUUCUUCAACUCCACCCUUUGGUGCAUCACUGAAAUGGCAAAAAGGUAGGAGGUGCAGAGGAGAACUUCAGGCCACGGAGGCAAGAAGUCAGUCAUUGAUUCCUGGCAUGAUUGUGAUAGUCGUGUUUGGAAAUCCAACCCAUAAAAUGAGCCACCGGUUUCACAGCGCACACCUUAGAGAUCUCAGAAACAUGCCCUAGGCUUGCUUGAGUCACAAUAGCUGGGUUCAAAUCUCCACUCCUGUUGUCUAAAGAACGAACUGUCUAGGCUAGUCUCAGCCUUGGUUUACAGGUAUCUCUCCGCAGGGUUUUUUUGGGAGAACUAUAUUUGAAAUAAUGUGUGUGAAAGUUUCUGAGAUAUAGUAAGUAAUAAUACUUGUGGGGAUUCUAAGGCUUACUUGCAGUGAUUUAAGUGUAUAUGGGGAAUAUUUUUAUUGUAUUGCAUUGGCAUGAAUAAAGACAUUUGAGAUUUGGAUGUUUACGUCUUAAAAAGCCAGUGGUAUUUAAUAUUUGCAGGAAGAAAAUGUUGUAUUUACCCUAUAAUAUAGGAAACUUGGCCCAUUUUUCUAAUGAUAUAGAAAAAGCUCAAUUAGGCUUAAAUAUGACCUAGCACCACCCCAAGCCUACAGCACUUGUAUUCUCUUUAAUAAAAAUUGCGUAAAUUAUAGCUUUCUCUUGAUUUGCACAGUACGGGCUCAAUUCUACCCCCUUUCCCCUAAGUAGAGUUGUUUCUUACUAUUUUUCAGGUUAACCAACUAAUGUCAGACAUAUGUUUCUUCACCAAACACUGCAUUAGGGGACGUUUAUUUUACAUUUGUUCCCUUUUGCAAAUAUUUGCAGUUAGUUGCAGAACUGAGCUAUUUUAUGAAGUACAGAAAAUAUGUCCAGGGAAAACAUAAGGUUUCAAAAGUAGCUUUUGAGAAGGAGAAAGGAAGAAAAGUCUAAUUACAGUGAAGAUAGGUACUGAUUUGUGCUAAGAGAAUGUAUAAAUCACGUCCACUACACUCGUGGUUUUAAUGCAUUCUGUGCAUCUGAAUUAAACAGGAGCUAGUGUUUGAAAUUAUGUCUAAAGCUUUCUUCAGUGAUUUGAGAAUAUAAAAAGUAGUGUUUCUUUUCUUUCAAAAGACAUCCCUCUCGCAGUGUGCCUUCUAUUCUUGACUUGUCUUGCUAUAAAAGAAAAAGCUCUCACAGUCUUUUCAAAUCUAAAUAGUCUGUACAUUAAAACAGUUUCUUUUUUCAUUUAGGAAACUGAAUCAUAGCUAUACAGUUACAAACAUAAUAUGAAAACCUAAACACCUUUUAUCUAAAAUGAACCCUCAGCAAAUUAGCAAGAGGUAAGGUUUAGGUAUGAGGGACAUUUUUUUUUUUUUUUUUUUUUUUUUUUGAGAUGGAGUCUUGCUUUGUUGCCCAGGCUGGAGGGCAGUGGAGUGAUCUCGGCUCACUGCAACCUCCGCCUCCCAAGUUCAAGCGAUUCUCCUGUCUCAGCCCCCCUAGUAGCUGGGAUUACAGGCACCCGCCACCAUGCCCGGCUAAUUUUUAUAUUUUUAGUAGAGACGGGAUUUCACCAUGUUGGCCAGGCUGGUCUUGAACUCCUGACCUCAGGUGAUCCACCUGCCUUGGCCUCCCAAAGUGCUGGGAUUACAGGCAUGAGCCACUGCGCCCGGCCUAAAGGACAUUUCGGUAUACAUUUAAAGUGAAUGUUUUAUACAAUGAGUCAAAAGAUGCCCUGACCUACAAUAAAUUUAAUUCUUUUGUUGAUAAUUCCAGGCAACUUAAACAUAUUCAAAGCAAACAUGGGAUGGUUAGGACCCAAAACAGCAUUUGUUUAGAAAGAUGAGGUCCUAUCUGGGAUUCCUUUUGCCAAGGGAAGAUGCCACUGGAAAUGAGACUACUAAUGCCCCAAGAAGUGACUGAUCCUAUAAUGGAAAAGGGAAAAAAGAAAAAGAGAACUGCUUCCUUCUUCAAGGGACAACCACAUCAAAGCACAAAUGCACUCCUGCGUAGGUGUGUGAGAUGAAGGUACCAUCUCAGCCACUGUAGAAACUGCUGGCCUCCCUUGAAAGAACACAGGCCACAUUCCAGGGCAACCAUUUCUGUUUAAACUAGUUUUUAAAUGUUAAAAUGUUAUAUGCAUAUGAUGACAAUAUAAAUGGUAGCAAAAUAUAGGUGUUAAGAAUAAAAGCUUCUGUCCUCAUUAGUCUUCUAGUCCCUCUCUCUGAUUUAUUGGACAUCAUUCCAGAAAUUUUUUUCCUUUAAGACGGAGCCUCACUCUGUUGUCCAGGCUGGAGGGCAGUGGCGCAAUCUCAGCUCACUGCAAGCUCCACCUCCCGGGUUCAUGCCAUUCUCCUGCCUCAGCCUCCUGAGUAGCUGGGACUACAGGCGCCCGCCACAACACCCUGCUAAUUUUGUUUUUGUAUUUUUAGUAGAGACGGGGUUUCACCGUGUUAGCCAGGAUGGUUUCGAUCUCCUAACCUCAUGAUCUGCCUCCCCUUGGCCUCCCAAAGUGCUGGGAUUACAAGCGUGAGCCACCACGCCCAGCCUGGAAAUUAAUGUGUAGACAAGUACACAGAAAAUGCACAUGGCUUUUUAUACAAAUAGGAUCCACCCUUUUUAAAACAAAUGGUGGGCUGAGUGCAGUAGCUCAUGCCUAUAAUCCCAACACUUGGGGAGGCAGAGGCGAGAGGAUUGCUUGAGACCAGGAGGAGUUCGAGACCAGCCUGGGCAAAACACAGUGAGACCCCGCCUCUAAAAAGAAAUUUAAAAAACUAAAA
rnacentral:lncRNA from 10 species